rnacentral:lncRNA from 1 species
CUGUGUGUAAAAGAACCGAGAUCGUAGUGGUGCUAUGGGCUUUAUGGUUUUCGCGGAACAGCUUAGUGCAUGAGGGGGUUGUUCAAAGGGUGCGAAGUGAUUACCUUUAUUCGAGGAUACUAUUCUGAGAUCGCUGAAGUCGUUAGAGGCCUGGCCCAACCAUCCUAGCCCCAGAUUGUCCGCUGGCUCCGUCCUCCGCUGUCUUUUGUCAAGGUGAGCGUUGAUGCUAGUUUUUCAUUCUCCCUGUAAAAAGCCUAUUCGGGUGUUAUUAUCCGGGACGAGUAUGGUUAAAUAAUGGGCGCUUGUAGUCGACUUACCUCUUACGUUCCUACAAUGUUUAUAGCGGAGGCCCGAAUUGUUGUUCAUGGGCUACUUUCACUUCUGAAAUGGGAUUCCGGUCUGUCAUCAUAGAGAGCGAUGCUCGGGCAGUCAUCUGUAAGCUAAACGCUACCUCGGAGGACCUAUCGGAGAUCAGUGCCUUUAUCUGCGAAGCCACGGAGCAGGUGUGUCGGUUCACUUACCUUGCCAGAUCGGGAAAUUGGCUAUGCAUACAGUGGCUCAAGAGGGUAUAUCGCGGCGGGAGGAUGGAUUCUGGGUGGAGGAAGGCCCGGUGUUGGCUACCUUAGUUGCUGAUGAGGAAAAAAGAUUGAUCGAUCCUCCUUAAGCUUGAUUCUGAAAGGUCUAUUUGGGGGAAAUUCUGAGAUCUUUUGUCUCCCCUGUUU